rnacentral:rRNA from 1 species
CCUACGGGGGGCUGCAGUGGGGAAUAUUGGACAAUGGGCGAAAGCCUGAUCCAGCCAUGCCGCGUGUGUGAAGAAGGCCUUCGGGUUGUAAAGCACUUUCAGUGGGGAAGAAAGCCUUGGGGCUAAUACCCUCGAGGAAGGACAUCACCCACAGAAGAAGCACCGGCUAACUCCGUGCCAGCAGCCGCGGUAAUACGGAGGGUGCGAGUGUUAAUCGGAAUUACUGGGCGUAAAGCGCGCGUAGGCGGUCUGAUAAGCCGGUUGUGAAAGCCCCGGGCUCAACCUGGGAACGGCAUCCGGAACUGUCAGGCUAGAGUGCAGGAGAGGAAGGUAGAAUUCCCGGUGUAGCGGUGAAAUGCGUAGAGAUCGGGAGGAAUACCAGUGGCGAAGGCGGCCUUCUGGACUGACACUGACGCUGAGGUGCGAAAGCGUGGGUAGCAAACAGGAUUAGAUACCCUAGUAGUC